CUAGAGAAAAUACAGACACUAGCAAAUCUGACUAUGAUUGGAGGAAAGAACUACACAGUUCAUAGCUGAAACCUCGGCCAACAACUCGCUGACCUUUUGCUAACAGUGCAAACAUCCAUCCAUCCAUCUUUUUGUACUGCUUAUCUUACACAGGGACGCGGGAUCCUGGAGCCGAUCCCAGGGAAGGCUGAGAACAAGGUGGGGGACACCCUGAAUGGGGUGCCAACCCAUCGCAGGGCACAAUCAGACAGUGUAUACUACUAUACCGAUUAUGAUUUGUCCAUCCCUGUAACAUUAACCUGUGACAUUAACCAACCCCACCCCUCUGGUAAAUCUCAAGAGUUGUCUUUUAAGAGAAAAGAGCAUAGCUGAGCACUCUUCUGGCCGGAGCCCAUUUCUGGAGGAGAAAAAUGUAAACAGGUGUCUGAUUUCAUUGCACAUCAAUGUUUCUAAUCACAGAUUUUUCAAGGUCUGUGAAAUGAUCAUUAUAUGAUCAUUAUAGAUCUAUGAACACUUAAAUAUUACUAAAUGCACCUUUAAAUCACAGAACCUUGGACGUAUUAGAAUGUUAUAAUUCCCCUUUAUGGCACUCUUCAGGCCCCACGUUGUAAGAGAUUUGGCUGCCCUUUUACUGUUCCAGCUGUAUUUGUGUGAGAAAGACUGCUAUCUUUUAUCUCUACUGACAAGUAGAUGGGAAGUGCAACACCCCGUGCAGUUUAUUUUGAUCAGUAUCGAAGGUUUUAGAUAAAUAUUUUGGUCACAGAAACUAAUGUCUCAGAUAGCUUAUAAAAAGAGAUCAAACAGCUUGUUGCUUGUCUGAAACUCUCUCCUGAUAGCUGCUGUGUUCUUUUGAUCACAAAGGCAUUUACAUUUCUGUAGCUCUUAGCUGUGGAAGAUUUGAGACGUGGCUGUUUAGUGGCCCUCUGUUUAGGGGAAGUAAUUGGCAUGAAUCACUUGAGAUAAUCUGCUUUGUCCCACUGUUACGCCAUAUCUGAUAGGAACAGCUGAAGUGUGCGUUGUGGCUCAGAUUGCUUUAUUUGAUUUUAACACUACAUUAUUACUAUUUAAUACAGAUCGUGAUUGGCUUUAAUUUCACUCUAAUUUGCAAUAGAGUGCUGUAAAAAUGAGUCCUAAAGCCCGGAAAUGAGCAUUUUUGCACUUCCGGUUCCGUCGUCCCAAAGUCAAUGGGUUUUUUGAACAGGUUUUUGCCUGAAAUAAGGUUUCUGGUUAACACAAGCUCAAGAUAUUUUCACGCUUUAUUCUACGACAUAAAAUACAUCAGUAGUACCCAACUCGUGGUUUUGGUAAGCUUUUAUGUGUUUUGAAAAGGGCGUUUGUAAAAAGUGGCUAAAUGGGACUUCAGAGGUUGUUGGGGACAUUAAACGUCAUCACAGGGCAGGAAAACUUGUAUACUACAGCCAGGUUGUGUUUAUACUUGCGCUCUUGAAAACUAUUCCAACUCAAACUUUCUAACUUGUAGAUUUAUCAAUUUAUAGUAUUUUCCAUUUGUAGUUUUUUUCAAAUUGUAUUGCUAUAAAUUCUUAAUGGUGCUGAUGCUGAAGUCGUGCGACCGUGGUGUAGCUUGUUUAUAGCCUACCUUUAGCUUUUUAUUUCUGGGGGUUGUAUUUAGGCUUCAAAGUUCAUAAAAGUUGUGGUACUUUGUGAAGAUUAUUUUGAUCAACAACAUAUGUAAGAAUCAUAAACUUUUGUUGAUCACAAAGCUUAUUUUCUGCAAUAAUCCAAAUGCCAAUGGAAAAAUCCUUAUGAAGAAAAAUACUCCAAACGGAAACUAAACUAUGUUAACUGUAGAUUAUAAGAAAUGGAAAGAUCCUUAUGGAAUGUCAGUCAGUACAUUUACAUGGACAGCAAUAAUCCAAUAUUGACCCGAUUAAGACAAUACUCGGAUUCAGAAACUAGCGUGUAAACAGCAAUUUUUGUAUUACCUUAAUCCUGUUAAGGUCAUACUCGAAGUAAACACAAAUCGAAUUAAGACGUGUGGAGUAUUCCUGUUUUAGUCGCAUUAUCGACAUGUAUUACAGACGUAACACCUUAAUUACACUAUUAACAUCAUGUGGGAGUUUUCACCGCUUUUUGCGACAGGACACGUACACACAUGGCAGUGCUCAACUUUUUGACAGCAAACAAGAGAGUACGGCUGCGUCCGAAAUUGCGAACUUGCCUUCUAAAUAGUAGGUGAAAUACAUGUCUCUCAGCUACUAUAUAGACGGUAAGUAUGCGGUUUGGGACGCAGCCCACUGCUUCAAGCAGCGUCUAUUUGCACGUAUUGCAUGAUAAACAAUUAACUGCAUUUGAAGCGUUUGUAAAAAUUACAAAUAAAAACACCCUAAACUGUAUACGGUACCAUAACGGAGACAAACUGUAUGUCGAUACGUGAAAUUCUUGAGGGACGUCGGACGGCGUGGCGUGGGGACGUAAUGACGUGUGCUGUUAAUCGAUCUAUGUUCUAUAACAGGUAAAACGGGGACAUGAAAGGAGUAUUCUAAAAGCGCCGCUUUAGAAACACCUUAGUCACAAUAUUGUCUCACUCAGAAUAAGGUCAAUAAUUAGAUUACUGCUGUCCAUGUAAACGUAGUCACUGUAGAUACCUGAAUGUCCAGAAGGCAUAUUUCAUAAAAUAAUAUUUAGAACUCCAAAUUUGUUUCUAUGAAGGCAUCUUUGACUAACAGCAGAUUUCCUAAUCAGAUACAUGAUUGAAUUUCAGACAUGUUCUUCUACUAAGUGCCUAAAUUGAACACUUAAGAUUCUGGGAGCAGUUUCCAUGAUCAGAGCAUUGUUUAUGUGUUUGCUGUGCAGGCACCCCUCGCCUGGCCCGCGCCUGCUGGAGGAUCUCUCGUUGCAUUUCAUGAGCCGAGGCUAGCGCUUAUUAGAUUAUCAGUCCCUGUACUCUUCCAGAUUGAGGUCGCUGGUUAUCACAGGAACCGUGUUGACCAACAGUAAUGGAUGCUUGAGAAUCAGAGUCUUCCCUUCAGGAGUGAGAUGUAUUUGGCGCUCUUUAUCAAAGAAAGUGAUCUUCAGUUCAUCAGCAUGCUACUGUGUCUCUUCAGCUCCUGCAGUAAUUCAUCUUCAGCCCCCUCCAGAUCUCUUAUAUUCUGAUCUAGUGCCGGCCCAGCUACAACAUGCCUCUUUCUCUUUGGUUCUACCUUCAUAUACCUUCUCCACCUCAGUUGCAGAACAUUUAUUUGAAACAGGAUUCCAAAGACAAAUCAUGAUUUAGGAAAAGUCUAUCAAUGUCCCUUAUGGAAUCAGUAAAGUAAGUAUCCGUCCAUAAAACAUUGCCUAUUUUUGCUGUUAUUACUUUAAAGAGGUUUUUUGACCUUUUGUGCGCCAAGGACCUGGCGGUGGAUCCACAAUCUAAUUACUUCUACGAUGCUACUAUUUUUUGUAACCCAAUUUUCUCCCAAUUUACUCGUAGCCAAUUUCCUCCCACCAGCUGAGCCUCCCGUUUCUCUUGCUGACUUUCAGCACAGCAGUGCGAAGUUAAACACGUGCUUUUUCCGAGACGGGUUCUUUCUGAAGUGCUACUCAUAGGGCAGUUGAAUGUGCUGAUCGAGAACACUAGUGUUGCUCUUGACAUAGUAAAGGAAGGCAAUUUUUGCAGGGUCAUGGAUGGCUGUGUCAUCAUUGAGAUAUUUCAGAUGAAUGCCAAACAUUUAGACCGUUAUAUAAACAAAACUAAUGAACUCAUGUCAUACUAUUCAAACUUACUAAAUUGAAUGUUUCCCUUUUAUGUAAAUUUACAUGUGAAAUGAAGCAUACAAGCUUUUCUGAACAGCGUCUAAGUCCAAUUUGAAGUGUUUCUUCUGAAGCAUAUUCAAAAGACGGUUUCUUGCUUUUGCUUUAAUAAAAUAGAGAUAUUUGCCAUUGGCCUCUGUACGUGUUUGGUGAGAUCCUCAGUGCUGAAUGUAAGAACAUAAGCUCUUAAAAGCAGCGUUAAGCUGUGAAACAUUUUCCAGGCAGGAAGGGGAGAAUAUUCCUGGAAGACACACAUCACAGAGCCAAGUAUUAUGGAGUUUAGUGAUUUACAAUUCAAGCCUGCUUUUUCCUUUCUUGUCAUAUGCCCCAGCUUUCUUCUGUUUAUUCAGAAAUGUGUUUCCAUGGCAAAUUUCCAACCUGCCAAGGUUUUCAUCACACACUCAUGCACUCAGAGGUAUAUACAUGCUGGUGUGCCUGUGAGCCCCUCUCAUCUUGGGUUCGUGUUCUUGGAUAUAGGAAAUGAGCCAGAGAGGAGCAGAAGCCUCCUCAAUAUAACCAUCAGUGUAAUCUAAUAAACAACUGAGAUGGUAAAUAUUCAGUGUCUUAUUGCCACCUGAAAUGGAAAGGAUGAAGAUCAGCAAGAUGAUUUACAAGUUUGCAUGCUACCAUGAUUUGUUUCUUAAAUUCACAGUUAUGCACAUUGAUUGAUUAGCAACACUUAAUGAAAAGUCUGACCAAUUUUUAUUGUUCGUAUAUUAUUAGACUAAAACAAUGCCACUUAAUGCACAUCUGUGCCUUUAAUCAUCUGUGAUUUCACACUGCAGUUAUACUGACAGACAAGUAGUGGUACAUGACCAGUUGUUACAGCUACACCUAAUGUUCAUAGGUAAAAUUAAACCACUGUUAAGUAUUUUUAAAGCAUAGACUUUGGUUCAGGAGUCUUUCAUUUUGCCUACUAGGUCUGGUUAAAAAGUUACUCCCAUGCCCACAAACCAGACUGAAGAAAAAUAUCAAGCAUCUCAGUGGCACCUUAUAAUGUAUGAAAAGGCCUGUGAUUUCUAUCCAUACAUUUUCCAUACCACUGGAACCUGGAGCCUAUUCCAUGGAGCUCAGGGCACAAGGAAUGUGACAUCCUGAACGGGGUGCCAACCCAUCGCAGGGCACAAUCACACACCCAUUCACACAUUGUGGACAAUUUGGAAGUGCCAAUCAGUCUACAACACAUGUCUUUGCACUGGGGGAGGAAACCAGAGAACCUGGAGGAAACCCCCAAAGCAUGUGGAGAACAUGGAAGCCGUGGAGGUGCGAGACAAAUGUGCUAACCCCUAAGUCACCAUGCCCCAGUGAUUUCUUUACAGUUCUCAAAUUAAAGCUGCAUUUCAAAGGAUUUUUUUUUCAAAUCUAAUGUGCUGAAAGUAAUACAGAGAUAAAAAUAAAACGAGAACAAUUCUGCACAGGUGUGUAAAUAGAGGUAGACUGGGAGAUCAUUUUGACAGCUCUACUCUUUAUGUGCUCAGUACUUCAGAUCUAUUUUGUGUGCUUAGUACAUCACUGUCUGCCUUCUAUGUGCUCAGUUAAACUGACUUGGCUAAAAGCCCUAAAUUCUUUUAGUUCAUCAUGUAUUUUCCCAUUUGCUUUGAAGUACCAGGCCCUCAGAGCUAAUGUACGCUCAGGUUUUUAAUGCGUCUGUUUUUCCAUGCAUCUUCUGAAGAAAAGUAGGAGCGUCCUUAAUAAUUUUCUCCUUGCUGGAGGACGGGGGAGUCCUAUUAGGCAGCAAGACUCAGCUGGUCAGCGGUGGCUAUGCGUUGACUUCAGCUCGUCCUCCGCGUUUAGGAAGUGCUGAAAUCGGAUUUGCAACAGAAGUCACUAAUCACGUGAAAAAGCUAAUGCCCCUUUAAUGUAAUUAUAUGGCUGCAGUUCCAUGCAUGCCAGCAAAUUUUUUGUGUGUGGGUGUGGGUGUGUGUGUGUGCAUGAUUUUUGCCACAUGUUAGUUAGAUGCCUUAAUUGGAAGGAAGACUUAGCCGGGGCCAAAAAAAAUGUUAAGAAAAGAAAGUGUUCGAUGUAUUUGCACAUAAAUUCCACUUGUGCCAUGUCAGGAAUCGAUUGGAGUAAAGUCAUUAAAAGGUUCCUUGAAUUAAAAUGCACAGCUUCCAUCUCGGCUGCUCAGUUGUGGAGCGCCAUGCCUCCGCCCACACCUCCCCUGCAGAUAAGUGCUGUUUGUCCCUUAUGCCUGCACAGAGAGGAGAGUCGUACAUCCCUCCCAUCUCUCUGGCUGUCUUCCAGAGCUUCAUUCACACCCUGGAGACCUCCAUGGCCUGCCAACAUAGCCCUCAGUGAUCAAUGACACACUCUGUAGGAGCACGGGAGCAGCAGUCACGCAAACCCUUUCAACGACGAGUGUCAUGCGAGGCAGCACAGUGUACCACACAACAUUUGUGCUAGAGUUCCUAACCAUACUCAGCAUCUGAAGGAUAACAACUUGCAUUAAAAGCUCAAUAAAAGCUGGUGUUCACUGCCUAAUUGCUCAGUUUCAAUCCCUGGAUGUUUUUUCUCUCUUUCUUUUCUCACUGCUGUGCUGCUUUUGCAGGUUGUGUUUGAACUGAACUGCAUUCUGAUGCCAGCGUAGGCAUCUUGUGUUUUUCUCCCAUUGGGUUUAGUCUAGUUCUAACAAGUCUUAGCCAUGAGCAGUUUUUUUGGAUUUGGUGCAAUUUCAUUAAUGAAUUGAAAUGACUCGCCCUCAAAGGUUAUUGCAUCCAUGUGCGAAUGAAGAAGGCACUAAUUUCUGCCUCAUCACAUCUCUUGCAUUUGGUAGUUAUUUGAUUUUGAGUUUCAACUAUGCUUCCCGUUCCUAAACUCUUCCACCCUUACAGCCCUCUUCCUUCCAUAAUGGCAUCACUUUUCUCCUGGUAAGAGUUUUCUUCAUUUUUUUUCUUCUUACCCAAUUGCAUGAUAGAGUAGACCCUACACUUUGCAGUAGUUUGCACUGGUUGUCGUUGUCACUAUAGUGUUGUCCUGUCUAGUUAAUGUGCACAGAGCGAUGACAUUAAAACCCAUUUGACAUGACUCAGUACAGACAUGAAGACGUACUGUUUGCAGAACAGCAGGAUAUGGUAAUGGAGGAAAGGAAUCCAUUUAACAUUUCCCGUCUUUAGGUAGUUUAGUUAAGACAAAUGAGAUCACAGGCAAAUGUGAUCAGUGUAACAGACCAUUGAAGGACGUGUGUGUGCUGCGUCUGUUGUUCUUCUCAUCCAACUUUUUUCUGACACACAAUGUUCAACAUCAUAAUUCCAGUCUAAAUGUAGCAGAUAACUGUCAGGAGUAAUUACAGUGAUAUGUGUCUAUUUCCAUACUGCCAAUUAAGUGCACUGGAUAAUAGUUAGAGGCUCAUUUAUUGCAUGGACAAUAUAGUGACAAAAUAGUUCAUAUUUAGUUAUUUAUUUUAGUUAUAAUUCUAAUCAUCUGGUCACUUAAACACCUUAAAUAGGUUCCUGAAUGAAUUAAAGCCUUACAGGAGGUUGUUAAUAUUGUGAUCUGAAGUUUUAGAACAUGAAGACAAGCAUGAAGAAAGUCAGUGUCGAAUCGAAGUGUAAUUUCAGUGAACUGCAAUUUUAGUGAAAGAAAUGUUAUUAAGUCUAUAUUUUAAAAACUUUAUUAAAUGCGUUUGGAACUGAUUGUAGUUCUAAAGCUUUACUG
ensembl:lncRNA